ensembl:lncRNA
CCGGAAGUGUUCGGAAAGAGGAAGUUGAGAGUUGUGAGUCAGAGACAAGAAAUUGGUGUGAAGACAGAGAUACACUCAGAGAAACAAGGCAUGAACAAAUUAGAGUAAGUAUGGUGAAGUGGAAAAAAGGACAGAGGUAAAAAACAAACAACGGAUGAAACUGAACUGGAAAACACAACAAAAAGGCAACAAGUGAAGAGGAAAGGAGAAGGCUGAACGUUGCGACAGAUGACAGAGUCGGAUAUGAGAAAACGCCGUGUCGGCACUCUUCUGGUCCUCAUGCUGAUACAGACAGGCAUGACAGACAGUGGGAUUUCUGUAUCUCACAAAUGGCAUGGAGAUUACCUAUCUAUCACCUGUCGUCUCAUGGGGGACAAAGACACUGUUUCUCAGAUCAACUGGGAGAUGACCAGCAGUUCGAACCACACCACCACCAGAUUGAAACUGGGCAUCUUCCACCCCGUGUUUGGUACCUACGUGUUCCCGAAGUACAACGAUACUGUGGAGAUCCAGGGUAACGCCUCCAGCGGCCAUUACACGCUCAGGCUGAAAGGUAGCACUGUGUUGGAGGAGAAUCAGUUCUGCUGUAAAUUCAUGACCUUUCCCUCUGGAGGACUGGAGCAGUGUACAAAUACCAGGAUUAAUGAAAGCACAGGAGGCGAUUGUUCGAGGUGGAGACUUAUCUGACAGACCAGCACACAGACUCGGAGGAGGUCACAGAGGAGCCACCCCAUCAACCCCCCCUUCCCUCACCUCCUCCCCUCCAGCUCCAGGGUUUUGACCCCUCUAAGCUGUACACUAAGAUCAAGCAGGAUCUGCUGUAUGGACGACUGUGGAAGGCCUACCAGGGGACAGCUAAGGCCUGGGACCCCACAACACAGCAGGGACCACACCAGCAAGGGCCACAACAAGGGGCAGAACUAGGGCCACAAAAGGUCUAUUUUCUUCUGGGGGAUCAUCGGGUGUCACAGAGAGAGGAACCAGAAGAACCAGAACUAGAACCUAAUCUAGAACAAGAACAAGACCCUCAACCAACCCUUGAAGGAACCGUGGAACCACAGACUGAGCCUGAACCUAUCCAUCCAUUAGCCCUGGAACCUGGAACACAGAUGGAGGUUCAAGAACCAGAAUGUAAUUUAGAACUAGAACCCAACUUCCCAUCAACCCUUUCUGCACGGAGGGGGGAACUGGAAUCAGACAUAGGAACAGAGAAAGAGGAAAUUGAAGAAACCAGAGACUAACCCUUCAGCGAGGAGGUUCAUGAAGGGAAGGUGUGUUGUGUUGUUGUGUGUGUGUGCGGGCCGUGCGUGUGUGCGUGUGUACGUGUGUGUUGGGAGGAAUAAUGCACUGUUGACAUUGGGUGAAUAACCCUGACCUCCUAAGGUUAGCUGUCAAUCAAUACGAUUAAUAAUUAUUGCCCCAGUGGGAAAUUUGUAGUGAAAAUUAAACUCACAGGUAAUCGCCAUGGUUUUUUGUUUACUGUGAACAUCGUACAUGUGGUUAGACGUCUCGGCCAUCACUCAGACGUUUCUCUCUCUCACACACACACACACACACACAGACAGACAGACAGACAGACAGACAGACAGACAGACAGACAGACAGACAGACAGACAGACAGACAGACAGACAGACAGACAGACAGACAGACAGACAGACAGACAGACAGACAGACAGACAGACAGACAGACAGACAGACAGACAGACACCACACACACACUGGUCAAUGGGGUUUGAAGUCUCGGCCAUCGCUCAGAUGUUUCUCACAUUUGAGCUCACAACAGUGUGGCAUACAGUAACUGUAUGAUGUGCGGUGUGAAUAGAACAUUAUGCUUUUGAAUAUAGUAAUGGGUUGAAUGACCUUUAGAUUCUAAAAAAGAGCUUUUAUAGCCAACUUUAUAGCCAACACUGUAAGGAACAAGACAGUGAGUGAUUUUUAUUUUGUGUAUCUGGUUUUGUGAUUGCAAUUUCUGUAUAUAAUGUUUAUUUCUUUGUUUCAAUUAAAAAUCAGACUAGCAAAA